rnacentral:rRNA from 1 species
CGUAGGGUGCGAGCGUUAAUCGGAAUUACUGGGCGUAAAGCGUGCGCAGGCGGUUUUGUAAGUCAGAUGUGAAAUCCCCGAGCUCAACUUGGGAACUGCGUUUGAAACUACAAGACUAGAAUAUGUCAGAGGGGGGUAGAAUUCCACGUGUAGCAGUGAAAUGCGUAGAGGUGUGGAGGAAUACCAAUGGCGAAGGCAGCCCCCUGGGAUAAUAUUGACGCUCAUGCACGAAAGACGUGGGGGAGGCAAACAGGAUU